rnacentral:rRNA from 1 species
AAUGGGCGAAAGCCUGACGCAGCCAUGCCGCGUGUGUGAAGAAGGCCUUCGGGUUGUAAAGCACUUUCAAUUGGGAGGAAAGGUUCACGGCUAAUACCCGUGAGCUAUGACGUUACCUUUAGAAGAAGCACCGGCUAACUCCGUGCCAGCAGCCGCGGUAAUACGGAGGGUGCGAGCGUUAAUCGGAAUUACUGGGCGUAAAGCGCGCGUAGGUGGUCUGUUAAGUCGGAUGUGAAAGCCCCGGGCUCAACCUGGGAACUGCAUCCGAUACUGGCAGACUAGAGUGCGGGAGAGGGAGGUAGAAUUCCACGUGUAGCGGUGAAAUGCGUAGAUAUGUGGAGGAAUACCAGUGGCGAAGGCGGCCUCCUGGCUCGACACUGACACUGAGGUGCGAAAGCGUGGGGAGCAAGCAGGAUU